UUAACUUAUUUUAUAGGUAACUCAGAGAUGCCAAAAAUACAGGUAUUGGUAGGCCUUCGGCGGGCCGCCCCCUGAAGGGCCUUCCACCGAAGCAACUUGUAGGUACGUUCACAGAGGGUUGGGAGUUUUGCAACUCUGUAAUGAUCCCUCCGCUGGUUCACCAACGGAGA
rnacentral:misc_RNA from 1 species